AUUGAACGCUGGCGGAAUGCUUUACACAUGCAAGUCGAGCGGCAGCGCGGGGCAACCUGGCGGCGAGCGGCGAACGGGUGAGUAAUACAUCGGAACAUGUCCAUUUGUGGGGAUAGCCCGGCGAAAGCCGGAUUAAUACCGCAUACGCCCGAGAGGGGAAAGGCGGGGACGUCGCAAGGCCGUCGCGCGAAUGGGUUGGCCGAUGUCCGAUUAG
rnacentral:rRNA from 1 species